rnacentral:lncRNA from 1 species
UUGUAGCCUGAAAAGACUGACCACAACUACUGCGAGGUGCCUCGUGACGUUGCUGUCCAAACUGACGGGAUGCUAGCCGCAUACGCACUGUCAGAAGGUGUGCAGGUGGAACUUGAUAAAGUAUUUGCAUCCAAGGGGACACAGUGCUGCAUUUAGCCUUGGCCAGUAAUGGACUCUGAUGGGCAGUGCACCUCCUUUACCACCUUCAGUGAGGCGCUUGCCAUUUGCAAAAGGUCAUGACAAGACAUGAUACUGCACUGGACGACGACUCAUAUCUUGUCCACUGGCUUCUGGAGAGAUGACUUGCCUCUGGCCAGUCCAGUAUGCUGGGGUUAGGCUGUCAACAUUGGAUUUGGAGCAGUUUGGAGCAGCAUGAACGAGAUGUCAUGAAUGAGAGGAGCAUGAACGAGAGAGCUGGGGGGACCUUGCAGCAACAU